UACGGAAGGCAGCGAGUGGGGAAUAUUGCACAAUGGGCGAAAGCCUGAUGCAGCUAUGCCGCGUGUAUGAAGAAGGCCUUAGGGUUGUAAAGUACUUUCAUCGGGGAGGAAAAAACAAAACUAAUAAUUUUAUUUCUUGACGUUACCCGAAAAAGAAGCACCGGCUAACUCCGUGCCAGCAGCCGCGGUAAUACGGAGGGUGCUAGCGUUAAUCAGAAUUACUGGGCGUAAAGAGCACGUAGGUGGUUUUUUAAGUCAGAUGUGAAAUCCCUGGGCUUAACCUAGGAACUGCAUUUUGAAACUGAAAUACUAGAGUAUCGUAGAGGGAGGUAGAAUUCUAGGUGUAGCGGUGAAAUGCGUAGAUAUCUGGAGGAAUACCUGUGGCGAAAGCGGCCUCCUAAACGAAUACUGACACUGAGGGUGCGAAAGCGUGGGGAGCAAACAGGGAUUAGAUACC
rnacentral:rRNA from 1 species